rnacentral:rRNA from 1 species
GACGAACGCUGGCGGCGUGCUUAACACAUGCGAGUCGAACGGAAAGGCCCUGCUUUUGUGGGGUGCUCGAGUGGCGAACGGGUGAGUAACACGUGAGUAACCUGCCCUUGACUUUGGGAUAACUUCAGGAAACUGGGGCUAAUACCGGAUAGGAGCUCCUGCUGCAUGGUGGGGGUUGGAAAGUUUCGGCGGGUGGGGAUGGACUCGCGGCUUAUCAGCUUGUUGGUGGGGUAGUGGCUUACCAAGGCUUUGACGGGUAGCCGGCCUGAGAGGGUGACCGGCCACAUUGGGACUGAGAUACGGCCCAGACUCCUACGGGAGGCAGCAGUGGGGAAUAUUGCACAAUGGGCGGAAGCCUGAUGCAGCAACGCCGCGUGCGGGAUGACGGCCUUCGGGUUGUAAACCGCUUUCGCCUGUGACGAAGCGUGAGUGACGGUAAUGGGUAAAGAAGCACCGGCUAAUUACGUG